GGUAGGAGGGCAGAUUUAUGAGUGCUGGUCCCAGGAACGUUAGGAGAAGCAAUGCUGCCAUCGUCACCAGGAGGGCCUCUGUGAAGAGCAGGCAGGCUGUCUCCAUUCUCCUCAGAGGUUAAGCUACAGAAAGAAAGGUGGAAAUGAAAAGUGACCAGAGCCAAUCCACACAAACGCAGACCUGGAAUCCUGGGAGAGCUGUCUACCAAACACUCGAUGCAGACAGGUAUGGUGGUGCUCAGUCAGGCUACAGCCAGCAACUUCUGCAUCCUAUGAGGGAGCUCAUGAUGCCCAAAGACGACUGCCUCUUUGGGAAAUCCCCGACUGUCUGGACGCUCCUGUUUAACCUCACCAAAUCUCUUCCUAAUUUUGAGCUGACUGUUGAGUUUCAGUAUUAAGAGUUAAGGUGGUUUCUGCACUGAGCCUUAUUCUGACAUUUUACCUAGAUCCUCUACCUACCUCUCUGACCACACCCUUUCACAAUACUAAAAUUGUCUGGUCAGUUAGCAGAUGGCUAAACUAUUUUGGAUCCCCUAAGAUUUAUAUAUCAACUGGUGAACAAGUUGAAAGUCGGAUGACUUUUGCUGGCACAGUUCAUGUGUUUUACUUGCAUACAGUACUCGAGUCUGUGAGAUCUAAGCUAUCCAUAAACACAGGAUCCAGGACAAUGUAGAAAAACCUGAAAGCAGGAAGGAGAAGCUA